rfam:Clostridium perfringens str. 13 DNA, complete genome.
AAAAGAGGUAGAGGCGCGAGAAUCAAGAUUACUAAAAUGGAGUUAAGUAGCGUAGAAGUUUUAGGAAAGGGAUUAUCGCCGAAGUUUUUGGCUAAUACUUUAAGGCUAAAUGCUGGGGUUGUAUAGAAUAUAUACAACACUGUCACAAAAUGUGGAGAGCUAUCAUCUUA